rnacentral:rRNA from 1 species
UGCUCUCUGAUUCAGCGGCGGACGGGUGAGUAAUGCCUAGGAAUCUGCCUGGUAGUGGGGGACAACGUUUCGAAAGGAACGCUAAUACCGCAUACGUCCUACGGGAGAAAGCAGGGGACCUUCGGGCCUUGCGCUAUCAGAUGAGCCUAGGUCGGAUUAGCUAGUUGGUGAGGUAAAGGCUCACCAAGGCGACGAUCCGUAACUGGUCUGAGAGGAUGAUCAGUCACACUGGAACUGAGACACGGUCCAGACUCCUACGGGAGGCAGCAGUGGGGAAUAUUGGACAAUGGGCGAAAGCCUGAUCCAGCCAUGCCGCGUGUGUGAAGAAGGUCUUCGGAUUGUAAAGCACUUUAAGUUGGGAGGAAGGGCAGUAAGCUAAUACCUUGCUGUUUUGACGUUACCGACAGAAUAAGCACCGGCUAACUUCGUGCCAGCAGCCGCGGUAAUACGAAGGGUGCAAGCGUUAAUCGGAAUUACUGGGCGUAAAGCGCGCGUAGGUGGUUCGUUAAGUUGGAUGUGAAAGCCCCGGGCUCAACCUGGGAACUGCAUCCAAAACUGGCGAGCUAGAGUAUGGCAGAGGGUGGUGGAAUUUCCUGUGUAGCGGUGAAAUGCGUAGAUAUAGGAAGGAACACCAGUGGCGAAGGCGACCACCUGGGCUA